rnacentral:rRNA from 1 species
AUUGAACGCUGGCGGCGUGCCUAAUACAUGCAAGUCGAGCGAAUCAAUGGGAGCUUGCUCCCUGAGAUUAGCGGCGGACGGGUGAGUAACACGUGGGUAACCUGCCUGUAAGACUGGGAUAACUUCGGGAAACCGGAGCUAAUACCGGAUACUUUCUUUUCUCGCAUGAGGGAAGAUGGAAAGAUGGUUCUGCUAUCACUUACAGAUGUACCCGCGGCGCAUUAGCUAGUUGGUGAGGUAACGGCUCACCAAGGCAACGAUGCGUAGCCGACCUGAGAGGGUGAGCGGCCACACUGGGACUGAGACACGGCCCAGACUCCUACGGGAGGCAGCAGUAGGGAAUCUUCCGCAAUGGACGAAAGUCUGACGGAGCAACGCCGCGUGAGCGAAGAAGGCCUUCGGGUCGUAAAGCUCUGUUGUUAGGGAAGAACAAGUACGAGAGUAACUGCUCGUACCUUGACGGUACCUAACCAGAAAGCCACGGCUAACUACGUGCCAGCAGCCGCGGUAACAC